rnacentral:rRNA from 1 species
UAGAGCGGCGGACGGGUGAGUAACACGUGGACAAUCUCGCCCCCGGCCCGGGAUAGCCCAGGGAAACCUGGAUUAAUACCGGAUGAGACGGACCCGCGAAGGCGGGACCGGGAAGGCGCUGCGGCGCCGGCCGGGGAUGAGUCUGCCGUCCCAUUAGCUAGACGGCGGGGUAACGGCCCACCGUGGCGACGAUGGGUAGCCGGCCUGAGAGGGUGGACGGCCACAUUGGAACUGAGACACGGUCCAGACUCCUACGGGAGGCAGCAGCUAAGAAUCUUCCGCAAUGGGACGAAAGCCUGACGGAGCGACGCCCGCGUGAACGAAGAAGGCCGUGAGGUUGUAAAGUUCUUUCGGGAGGGGGAACAACCGUGGCAGGGAAUGGCCGCGGGAUGACGUGAAUCCCGGAAUAAGCCCCGGCUAACUACGUGCCAGCCGCAGC